rnacentral:rRNA from 1 species
CUUUGGGGUGUGACUGCGUACCUUUUGUAUAAUGGGUCAGCGACUUAUAUUCUGUAGCAAGGUUAACCGUAUAGGGGAGCCGGAGGGAAACCGAGUCUUAACCGGGCGUUAAGUUGCAGGGUAUAGACCCGAAACCCGGUGAUCUAGCCAUGGGCAGGUUGAAGGUUGGGUAACACUAACUGGAGGACCGAACCGACUAAUGUUGAAAAAUUAGCGGAUGACCUGUGGCUGGGGGUGAAAGGCCAAUCAAACCGGGAGAUAGCUGGUUCUCCCCGAAAGCUAUUUAGGUAGCGCCUCGUGAAUUCAUCUCCGGGGGUAGAGCACUGUUUCGGCUAGGGGGCCAUCCCGGCUUACCAACCCGAUGCAAACUGCGAAUACCGGAGAAUGUUAUCACGGGAGACACACGGCGGGUGCUAACGUCCGUCGUGAAGAGGGAAACAACCCAGACCGCCAGCUAAGGUCCCAAAGUCAUGGUUAAGUGGGAAACGAUGUGGGAAGGCCCAGACAGCCAGGAUGUUGGCUUAGAAGCAGCCAUCAUUUAAAGAAAGCGUAAUAGCUCACUGGUCGAGUCGGCCUGCGCGGAAGAUGUAACGGGGCUAAACCAUGCACCGAAGCUGCGGCAGCGACGCUGAUG